rnacentral:sRNA from 2 species
AGACAAAACUAAUAGAGGAAGCAAGCUACAUAAAAAGACACAACUAGCUCACUAGGUAUUAAGCCACUCAAUGUCCAAUAACUGCUACAAUCGACUACCUCUCAAAUCUCUCAAAACUUGAAAGAAGAAAUAUAUAUGCCCCUCCAACGAUGACCAACCCGUCCCUGCCCCUCACCCCGCUCACCUCCCACACCAAUGACCACCAAGCCCACCUCCACUACCUCCGCGCCUGUCUCUCCCUAGCCCAGCAGUCCCCGCCAAAACCCACAAACUUCCGCGUCGGCGCCAUUCUCCUCUCACGAACACUCCUCUCCCCAGGAAGACCACGAAUGUACAACGACACAAUCCUCUCAACCGGCUACACCCUGGAGCUACCAGGAAACACCCACGCCGAACAAUGCGCCCUGGCAAAAUACGCCGCAAGACACGGCGUGACUGACGAGCGGAUUGGCGAGGUUUUGCCACCGCCUCCUUCCCCUCCUCUUCCUCCGCAAAGCUCAGGGCCAGGGACAGACAAAGCCCCAGAAGGCGAGCAGAAGAAUAUCAUUCUUUACGUCACCAUGGAGCCGUGCGGGAAGCGAUUAUCGGGGAACAUGCCGUGCGCUGCGCGCAUUGUUCAGAUGAGACGUGCGGCGUCGUCGUUCGGUAAUAGCGAGGAGAAUCGCCAUGCCGCGUCCGUCGGUCUUGAAGCUUCUCAGGGCUCCGCUGCAGGUGGCACGAGGAGAAGGUCUGGCAUUGACAAAGUGUAUUUUGGCGUUAAGGAGCCGGGGACUUUUGUGGGGCAGUCGGUCGGUUGUAAGAUGUUAGAUGAGGCAG